rnacentral:SRP_RNA from 1 species
GCCAGGCAUGGUGGUGCAUGCCUGUAGUCCCAGCUACUAAGGAGGCUGAGGCAGGAGAAUGGCUUGAACCCAGGAGGUGGAGGUUGCAGUGAAUCAAGAUCGUGCCACUGCACUCCAGCCUGGGUGACAGAGCAAGAAUCUGUCUCAA